UUGAUGCUAGUAGUGCUCCAUAUAGCUCUCUAAAUGGGUGUCCGUCCUCCUCAUAUUCAAGCCAUCAUGUUACCCCAUAGCAAAGAUGCAUUUGAAGUAUUGAGCUGCGAACAUGGCAAAGAAGAUUGAGUUUCUUGAAGUUUCCAAAAGGAAACUGUUGGGAGAAAACUUGGGGUCAUGUUCUCUAGAAGAACUACAACAUAUAGAGAACCAACUAGAGAGAAGCCUGACUACCAUCAGAGCAAGAAAGGUACACAAUUUGAAUCACUGAUACUAGAUUUUUUGGAGAGUUAUUUCAACAUCCUGAACUGAUAAUUUACACACUUGAUGGUACUUGUACUCCGGACUCAGUUAUUUAGGGAGCAGAUUGAAGAUCUAAAGGAAAAGGUAAUUUGUAAAACAAAAAGCUUGAAAAAGAUGCGCUCAGAUUAUUUGCUUAGAUGGCAACUCAUAGAAAUUAAGAGCUCUUGAAACACACAAUUCUGAGAAUUGCAUGCACUAAGUUUUCCACUAAUUACUAUUUUUUCAUCAAAUUCAAGAAAGACUCCUGGAAGAGGAAAAUGCAGUGUUACGCAAGAAGGUAAUCUACUAAUCUUCUUCCCCUCAUUUUCAUCAAUCUCUUUUACCUUCUAGCAUCAAGAAAUUUGAGAUUACAGAAAAUUCUGCCAUCACUUAUUAAAUUUGAGCUUUACAGCAUGAUGACAAAAUACAAUAAUAAGCAAUAAACAUGAUUGAGCUACAGAAGCUCAGGCAAGGCAUCCAGCAAAUAGUGGCAGCAACUUAUCUAUUGCUCAGUCAAGGCAUUUCACGAGAAAGAGCAACUUUUAUUUGUAGUUAACUAGGAAGUAGGGAAUCUUUGAUCCAUUACUUGCUAAUAUGCUGGAUAGAUACUGUUCGAUCCAGAUCAAAAAAGGCAAGUGCUUCAAAGCAGUAUCAUUUAUUUCAGUUUAUAUCUAGAAAAGCUCCCUCCAAAAUGGUAAUCUCGGAACUUUGUUAAUAAUGGAGGAAAGAUCCUCCAUAAUGCAAAUAACUAGAAACAUUUUCAGAUGAUAGGGGCCUACCUCAGAA